rnacentral:rRNA from 1 species
CAGCCGCCGCGGUAAUACGAAGGGGGCUAGCGUUGUUCGGAAUUACUGGGCGUAAAGCGCACGUAGGCGGACAUUUAAGUCAGGGGUGAAAUCCCGGGGCUCAACCCCGGAACUGCCUUUGAUACUGGGUGUCUAGAGUAUGGAAGAGGUGAGUGGAAUUCCGAGUGUAGAGGUGAAAUUCGUAGAUAUUCGGAGGAACACCAGUGGCGAAGGCGGCUCACUGGUCCAUUACUGACGCUGAGGUGCGAAAGCGUGGGGAGCAAACAGGAUUAGAUACCCGCGCAGUCCCUGUCUCUUAUAC